CUUCUUAAAGCUCUAGCCAGUGGGAAAGCGUUUGUGUUUCUAUCCUUGGAGCUCCAAGUGGGACUUCUUAAAAGAUUUAGAAGGAGCAAAGCUGUCAGGAAAUCAGAAACGUCACAUGGACUCCAUGACUGGGAAAAACCUCGUGGUGGCCUGCUCUCAGUGCUUGGAUGUGUGCUAGUUACAUCUCGGAGGUCUGAUUUUCUUAACUCUACUACGGUAAGAAGAUGCCCUCCAUCAGCAGGCCGUGUCUGCUGGGACCUCUCUGGAGACUUCCUGAACCCUGUGGAUUUACAGUAAGAUGCAGUUUCCUGGGGAGUAAUUCUGGUGGAUACAAAUUCCGGAGUAUUACACCUGGCUUGCCUGGAGAUGUUACAAGUAGCUGGAUGGAUUCUUCAGCCUGGAUGCCCACUGAAAACAAGGACCGAAACUGAGAGGAUUGUAUCUCUACCCUUGACUCAAUGAGAAUGUUUGUUGUCAUCUCUCGGGCUACCUGGAGCUCCCUCUAAAAUUAUACCCUUUAAGCGUUCCAGAAGGAUUUUGAGAUCCUUUCCUAAAUCAAAGGUGGAAUAUUUGGGGAUUUGGAAAAUUGAGAUGAGAAGCGUUGACUUAAGAGAUGCCAAGUAGCUCAGCAGAUGUCACACAGACGAUAAAUAGCAAAGAUGGAAGUCUUCAUGCCGGAGGCAAUCCUAUAAGACAGUUGAGUUCUGCAGAGCUGGUAGGAGACAGACUUGCUCAGGUGAUAGAUCCAGCCAUGAUACUGACCCUAAGAGAAUGAGACGCUCUGCAGAAGACAGAAGAUUCCUGAAACUGGGAAAGGUGCCUAGAAAUCCUGAGAAGAGUGAAGAAGGAGCUGGCAGAGCAGCCUUCCUCCGCACUAUGAAAGACAUCCAACAGAGAGCAAGUUCCCACCUCACUUCCAGCUUGACUCCUUUUUAUCUCCUAACUGUGGUCUGUGAUGUCUUCAGCAAUGGUAUUAACUAGUUCUGGGUACCUGGAGGCACAGCAGCCAUGUUGAACCUAUGAGGUGAUGAAAAACCAUGCAACUAGAAACC
ensembl:lincRNA